rnacentral:piRNA from 1 species
CCAGGAGACAAGAGGAAUUACAC